UCCUUUUAUUAUGCGGAGCCCCGAAGGGCUCUAGCACACAUACAUAUAUUAGUGUGAAAGUAUAAAAAAGUCCGUGAUGUUUCUGCAUCUGCUGCAUUCUGUGUGCAGCCCAAUGCAACCGUAAUUGUCCGUGAUUGUCUGUAUUGUGGAAUUGAGUGAUUGUGUACGUUCUUCUCACUUUGCACAGUCAAGAUAUCCAUACAACUUCGAUCACUUUUCAUCUUAUUUUUUCCCUCUACUUGUCUCAUGUAUACGAAAUCUUCGAUGACUGCAAGUAAUCAUAAUUGAUGAUUUUUUCAACUGAAGUAGUUUCGUUCACGACGAUCGGUGAGAGUACGUUCUAUUUGGUACUCAUAAUGCUCACAAACAUUCUUGUUUAACAUUUGACAAACAACAAGUAUGAAAUGCUUCCAUAAAUGUUGCGAGUGUCAAGUGAAACGUAGCUUAAGUGAAUGUAUGUUAACGUUAGGUCGCAACGAUUAGAGAAUGUGUAUUGUACUAGAAAAACGUCAAGUGAAAGUGCUGGUUGCCAAAAAUUCCGAUAGAGCAGAGGCUAUUAUCGCGUGCCCUAAAAUAAACGAUAUUUUAGGAAAUGUUCCGUGAGAAACUUCAGUGUGGGUAUUAGUGGUUUUUUUCAUGGAUAAUUCACUCGCAUCAACGUUUCCCGAACAAUGUUUGAAGUGGUAUUCGCAGGAUUUCACAUAUGUUGAAAAAACAUCUACGUAUUUCUGCGUCUAAUUAAAUAUCUUCAACCAUGGCAGAUGAGGAAGGUACAGAGUGGCUUCAAGAACUGCUGCAUGAUGUGCAGCUAUCACAAUUCUUUACGCGAAUUCGAGAUGAUCUGCAGAUUACUCGUUUGCAUCAUUUUGAUUAUGUCCAAGCAGAAGAUUUGGAGAAAAUUGGUCUGGGUAAACCUGGUGUCAGACGUCUAUUGGAUGCGAUAAAGAAAAGACGAAAUGCCCAAUGGAAAAAGAGUUUAAUUACAAAAAUUAAACCUGGUAGCAGCGGUAAAAGCAAUAAGCGAGCUUCACAGGCCGUCGAAACUUCCUCGGUGCUGACAUGUCUUAUACAAGACAAAGAUGUGACAUUAUCUGUUAAAUUAGGCGAUGGAAGCUUUGGUGUAGUGAGAAGAGGAGAAUGGACCUCUCCCUCGGGACGAACUCUGCCUGUCGCUGUGAAAGUUCUUAAAGCAGAUGCUUUAACGCAACCGAAUGUUAUAGAAGACUUCAUUUCGGAAGUUCAAGCGAUGCACACUUUGGAUCAUCAUAAUCUUAUUAGAUUGUAUGGCGUGGUGCUAUCGCAACCAAUGAUGAUGGUGACCGAGCUCGCACCUUUAGGCGCGUUACUUGACUAUUUACGGCAGCAAUGCAGUAGAAUCUCGAUUCUUACACUCUGUAAUUAUGCGCUGCAAGUUGCCACGGGUAUGGCAUAUUUAGAAGCGAAGCGUUUUUUACAUCGCGAUUUAGCAUGCAGAAAUGUUUUAUUGAGUACCAUCGAUAAAAUCAAAAUCGGCGACUUCGGUUUGAUGAGAGCACUUCCUCAACAAGAAGAUUGUUACGUUAUGACAGAACAUAAAAAAGUACCUUUUCCCUGGUGCGCUCCUGAGUCUCUUAAGGCUCGGCAUUUCAGUCAUGCGUCAGAUGUCUGGAUGUUCGCUGUGACGCUAUGGGAGAUGUUAACAUUUGGCGAAGAACCCUGGAUAGGAUUAAACGGUUCUGAAAUCUUGCGUAAAAUCGAUCGCGAGGGCGAGCGGCUUCACAAGCCAGAAGCAAUGCCUCCGUAUAUGUAUGAGUUGAUGCUUCGUUGCUGGGCAAGAGAACCCUCGGAGAGACCAACAUUUGCUUCGUUGAAGGAAUCGCUGACUGGUAUGGUACCGUCUGUAAUGAAGGCUCUAACCACCUUCGAGGAAACCGAUAAAAUGUCCAUCGAAUCAGGAGACCAGAUUGCAAUCAUUGAUGGGCGAUCGGAAAAUUAUUGGUGGAAAGGCCAAAAUCAACGAACUUUUCAAAUAGCGCAUUUUCCACGUUGUCUAGUUGAUCCAAUGCGUCGAAAACAACCAGAAGACAUCAGCAAGCCAUUGGAAAAUUCAUUCAUUCAUACAGGACACGGAGCGCCCUUUGGUAAGAGCUGGGGCAGUCCCGUUUACAUUGAUGAUGUAUAUUUAAGAAACCCAAUGGAUCCUCCGGAUGUAUUGGUGGCAUCCUCGGUUGAUAAUCAGACAAAAAAGAAAUUUUCUUGUGGCACUCCGCGUACUAAAAAACAAUUUAAUUACACAAAAUUGCACAACGAUGCUAAGUCGAGUCCUAUCAAGUCCUCACAAGUAUCGUCAACUUCGAGCAUGAGCCAAGAGGAUACUCUAAUCGAUUUGUCCGUUGAAGAGUCAGCGAGCACAAAUGUACAUGUCGCAUGUAAGCGAGUAAUUAACAUUCUGGAUGAACCCAUUGAUGAUGAGAGAUUAUCCUGGCAGGAUGAGGAAGGUAGAACAUAUGCCAAUUUUCCUGGUAACGUGGAUCCUGCGUAUUCUGAUCCCUUUGAUACUUCCGCGGUAUUUAUGAAGCCGCCACAUUCGCGAUAUUAUAGUCAUGUGCCUACUGAUGUAACUAAUAAUUAUCUGAAGACGCAGACGUAUGGAAACGUGAAUGAUCAGAAAGAAAGAGAUAAUGUUCAAGAUACUGUGAAUUGUUUGAAUAAUUCCACUGAUACAGAGGAGACUUGCGAAUACUCGAUGAAUUUAUACAAGGGAUGUCAGGAGAAUGCAAUUAAUUUGAAUACAGACGUGAAAGAAGAUGACAUUACAAGUCACUAUAGUGAAAUAGAUAAAAUCAGCCCGUGUGCAUCAAGCUGGUCUACCUGGUCUAACUGGCCGGAAGAUUUACGAAAAACUUCCGCCGCGCAGACGUAUGUUAAUAUUUCUGACAACAGUCCCAUAUCGUCAUUUGCUGCUACAAUUUCUCCUCUUUCUUUUCUUCCUCCUCCUCCUCCUCCACCUCCUCCUCCUCCACCACCUCCUCCUUCUCUUCCUUCUCUUCCUUCUCUUCCUCCUCCUCCUCCUCUUGGCCCAAGCGUGAGCCUGCCGAAGCCUAAGUCUAAUUUUGAGCUCGCACAGAACAUGAACGAGCUGUCGUUGAAUACCAAUUCUGAUCGUCAAGAAGUUGCUGCUGUCGCUAAGAAGCUGGACCCGGUUUUCUUGGCCGAGCUGGAGAAACAUUUAGGCGAGAAGGAGGCGACCAAGAACACGAACGCUAGCAACAGUAAACUCCAACAGCCGGAAACUGUUUCCGCAAAUUAUUUACACGACUCAUCGUUAGAAAAAUUGCAACAGAAUUCUACGUCUACUCAUCAGAUUUCAACGACGGAAGACGCUGCCAGACCUUUGUCACUUAUUCCAGCGUUAAAGCCUCCACCACAAGGAAAACCGAAGUCUCCAGUAACGACUAUAAAUCGAGCAAACACUUUAUCGACAUCAUCUAACAAAGUACAGAACUUCUGGCAGCCAAAAAGCACAAAUGUUGAAAGACCGCGACUCCAGAAUGAUCACUGUGUAUCAGAAUCCGCCACUGAGGCUAUAAUGAAUCAAAUUUGGCAGCAAACGCAAGGUCUAUCGCAGCAGCCAAAUAUUUGUCUGACUAAUUCGGCAGCUAACCAAAUAUUAAUGUCCGUUUCAGUGACUCAAGCGAACGUUAAUCGACUUCAAGAAACUGCCAGUAACGCUUUCGAUAAUGAUACGAAUGAUCAAAAUCAGUAUAGUUCCUACAAUGUCACUAAGGCCACUCUUAUACAGACACAAGCUUGUCUGUCAGAUCAAAAUACUUAUCCUCAAAAUACGUUGCAUGCCAAUCAGGAUAAUAUUAAUCUGUUUGAAGGAACUUCUGAUCAUAGUACUGAUAGUAGCACGAACGAGGCUCAACACGGAUCUUGCAACCUUGCCAAGACCGCAGUGGAUCAAACACAAAUUUGUUCGUCAAACAGCCAAAGUUAUCUUCCAAAUUCAUUGAAUAUUGAUCACGAUGUUUUCAAUUUGCAACAGAUUGCCAUUAGUAACAUUUCUUCCAGUGCCAGGAAUUAUCUUCAGUGCGAUGCAGCUAAUAUUUCUAAAGUGAAUCAAACCCAGAUUUGCUCAUUAACUAAUGGAAGCCAGCAUUAUCUUCAUAAUACUGACUUUAAUCUACUUCAAACUACUGCCAAUUAUGUUUCUGACAAGAGCACGGGUGAAUUCUCUCAGCAUGGGCAUUGCAAUAUUUCCAAGGUUGCGUCUAAUCAGGCACAGAUUUAUUCGUUAUCAAAUCAAAAUUACUCACCGAAUAUAACACCAGGUUUUAUGGGCGAUUUUGCGUUGCCUCAAACAUGUCCUCAAAAUAUGGCAGUAUCAUCUAGCACAAGUAACGUUCAUGAAAUCGCCCACAUACAAAAUAACUUGCAGCAGUCGCAACAAUUAAAACCUGUUACACUUUUAUCUCAACAAGUAUAUGCCGAAUUAAAACAAACGGUCCCUAAUCUAGAGCAGCUGUCUCAGAACGAAUUUAAUACACUCUACAACAAAACUGUUCGACAGAACAUUCUCCGAAAUUACUAUUCUAAUAACCUCAGCAGUGAAUCCAGCCAAAAUGUUCAGGAAACUGUUGGUAACCAACCACUACAAAAGAGUGUCAACCUCAAGAAUCAACCUAUUCAAGGACAUGCUUGCGAUUUUAGUUCUUAUCUGAAACAGCCGCCGACUUAUACCCCUCCACCUGCUCCUCUUACAACUCGAAGUUUGCUUAAAUCUAGCCAGAAUGAUUAUAUGCAGAGUCAUAAUCCCGCAAUAAAGUGCAACUUGAGUAGACCUUCGAAUCUAUUGCAAGCUGAAACUUCUACGUCGACUAAAAGUACAUUAACGACGCUGAAUGACUUUGCUGCUGCCAAGGUAAAUCUAUUACAGGUCAAUCAGCAUUCUGCCUGCACUAGUCCACCACUUACCGCAGCCUCUCAGCAAUUGGUAAUGUCAUUAAGCGACGAAUUUAGAAUGAGUAAAAUCAUGAAAGUACAGAAAGAGACCGUAGAUGUGUCGCAGCAGGAGAUAUUAGCUGCAUUGCAGGCAACUGGUUGGGAUACAAAUCAAGCUGCUAAGCAGAUCACGAAGGACAGACAGGUCAAACUUGAAAAUCUCAUGAGAUUGGGAUUGGCUACUAAACAACAAUGUGAAAAUGCUUUAAAGCAGACUAAAUACGACGUGGAAAUGGCAGCUUCGUUGUUACUCGAUCAAGCUAGAUGAGGAACAAUUGCAGUUAAUGUCCCGACGUCUUCUAUGACACAGCUAUAACUCUGCAUAGGAGGAACAGGAGCAUCGGGGCUGCAAUUCAUAUUUGCUGCCGCAGUCAGCAACAGAGAGGAUUGCACCUUUAAUCAAGAUUUCUACCAAUUUGUGAGCACUGACGGUGCGAAGACAAAGCCUAUUGUUGCCGUAACUGGUCGGAGCUUCAAGUGAUCCAACGCAACGGUGAGAGUCUGAUGCGUGUAUAACGGGUGUGCAAACAAGAAAGAUCGAUAAACAUUCUCAAUGUUUCAAUUACUUAUUUAUUAUUAAUAUUAAACAAUAUACUUAUUGAAU
rnacentral:misc_RNA from 1 species